rnacentral:rRNA from 1 species
GACGAACGCUGGCGGCGUGCUUAACACAUGCAAGUCGAACGGAAAGGCCCUGCUUUUGUGGGGUUCUCGAGUGGCGAACGGGUGAGUAACACGUGAGUAACCUGCCCUUGACUUUGGGAUAACUUCAGGAAACUGGGGCUAAUACCGGAUAGGAGCUCCUGCUUCAUGGUGGGGGUUGGAAAGUUUCGGCGGUUGGGGAUGGACUCGCGGCUUAUCAGCUUGUUGGUGGGGUAGUGGCUUACCAAGGCUUUGACGGGUAGCCGGCCUGAGAGGGUGACCGGCCACAUUGGGACUGAGAUACGGCCCAGACUCCUACGGGAGGCAGCAGUGGGGAAUAUUGCACAAUGGGCGGAAGCCUGAUGCAGAAACGCCGCGUGCGGGAUGACGGCCUUCGGGUUGUAAACCGCUUUCGCCUGUGACGAAGAGUGAGUGACGGUAAUGGGUAAUGAAGCACAGGCUAACUACGUG